CAGCAGCCGCGGUAGUACGAAGGGGGCUAGCGUUGUUCGGAUUUACUGGGCGUAAAGCGCACGUAGGCGGAUUCUUAAGUCAGAGGUGAAAUCCCAAGGCUCAACCUUGGAACUGCCUUUGAUACUGGGGAUCUCGAGUCCGGGAGAGGUGAGUGGAACUGCGAGUGUAGAGGUGAAAUUCGUAGAUAUUCGCAAGAACACCAGUGGCGAAGGCGGCUCACUGGACCAUAACUGACGCUGAGGCACGAAAGCUAGGGGAGCAAACAGGAUUAGAGACCCCUGUAGUCCCUGUCUCUUAUAC
rnacentral:rRNA from 1 species